AAUGAACGUUGGCGGCGUGGAUUAGGCAUGCAAGUCGCGCGAUAACCCGCAAGGGGGACAGCGGCGAAAGGGACAGUAAUGUGUAGAUCAUCUACCUCGAGGACUGGGAUAGCUGCGGGAAACUGCAGGUAAUACCGGAUAACGUCUCCGGACCAAAGGUGUGAGUCCGCCUUGAGAUGAGUCUGCAUCCUAUUAGCUAGUUGGUGGGGUAACGGCCUACCAAGGCAAUGAUGGGUAGCGGGUGUGAGAGCACGACCCGCGUCAUUGGGACUGAGACACUGCCCAGACACCUACGGGUGGCUG
rnacentral:rRNA from 1 species